rnacentral:antisense_RNA from 1 species
ACAGUUCCAGGGAGGGAGAGGCAGAGCCUUUCUGUGAAUUAUGGGGAAAUGGCUGACCACUCCGCCUCUGGAUGGACAGAUACACGGACAGCUGGUUUAAGUUUUGACAAAGAAAAACCCUUCUUGGAACCUCAGUCUGGAAUACAACUGUAGAACCAAUUAAGACUGGAGUAGGAAGCCGGGAGGAAGACAUGGACAGCCAACCCACUGGACAGGGCAAGAGGCCACUCUGGGGGAGAAUGGACAAAGUUGCUUCAGUCCACCAGAGACAAAAGCACAAACAAUCAUUCUAAACGAAGUGCUUUUAAUUUUC